UCGAUUUGCAACCAACUCAGGAUUCCAAUAAAUCUUUGCCUCGCGAAUUCGUGUCCGAAAUCCUCAAAUCUAGUAAUAAACAAUUCAAUAUACUCAAUACAAAUCGUAGAAAUUGAUUCCAUAUGAAUUUACUAAUUUUUCAAAUUAAAAUCCGAAAUUUAUUUUAAAAAUAACAGUGGGAUCCACGUCUCGAAUCCCGAAAAAACUCACAAAAUCCGAACACACGUUCCGAUACGAGUUCAACCAUACAAAAAUUAUCGAAUUCCGACAUCGGAUUGGCUUUCAAAUCUUCAUUUUAUAUUUUUGGAAGAUUUUAUAAAAAUCUAUUUUAUUUUUGCAUAAAUUUACGGAUUCAUGAUGUAAAUGAGUAUGGAAUUAUGAAAUAUAAUAAAUAUAGGAUAAAGAACACUUAUCCCAAUAUUUUCCCGUAAAAAUCGCCCAAAACUCGCCUUACCCGAGCUCAAAAUCUUGAAAAAUGAAAAAUGGGACGAAAUCCCAUUUCUGCUGUCCAGGAAUUUCUUCUUCGCGAACGCGAGGGCAGUCUCGCGAACGCGAUGCCUUGCCAAACUUGGCAUUCGCGAAUGCGGUCUCCCCUACGCGAACGCGAAGCCUUAUCGCCUGGUGCCCGGCCAGGCCCCGCCUUUCUACGUGAACGCGAACGCUCCCAUGCGUUCGCUAUGUACACUGCCCUCUACCCCUUCGCAAACGCGGUCCCCUCUUCGCGAACGCGAAGAGUAAAUUUUGCCUGCCUCCAGUUCCUCUUCGCGAACGCGAAGAAGGAAACCAGUCAGUGCAUCAGAAAAAUUCCAGUAAAGUUCCAAGCCCAAAAUUCAACCCGUUAACCAUCUGAAACUCACCCGAGGCCCCCGAGACCUCAACCAAAUACACCACCAAAUCCUAAAAUAUCAUACGAACUUAGUCGAAACCUCAAAUCACAUCCAACAACGCUAAAACCACAAAUCAUACCACAAUUCAAGCUUAAGGAACUUAAAAAUUUUCAACUUCUACAUUCGAUGCCGAAACCUAUCAAAUCAAGUCCGAUUGACCUUAAAUUUUGCAUACAAGUCAUAAAUAACAUAACGAACCUAUUUCAAUUUCCGGAAUCGGAUUCCCAGCCCAAUAUCAAAAAGUCAACUCCGUGGUCAAACUUGAAAAUCUUUAGCCUUUAAAUUUUUAGUUUCCGUUAAAUGGUCAUAACUUGAGCUAGGGACCUCCAAAUUAAACUUCGGGCAUACGUCCAAGUCCUAAAUCACGAGACGGACCUAUCGGAACUGUCAAAACACUGAUCCGGGUCAGUUUGCUAAAAAUGUUGACCAAAGUCAACUUAAUUGAGUUUUAAGACUCUAUUUCAUAUUUUAAUCAUUUUUUCAUAUAAAAACUUUCCGAAAAAUUAUACGGGUUGCGCACGCAAGUCGGGGAAUAAUGCAUAGUGCUUGUUCGAGGUCUUAGAUCACAUAAAUAAUUAUUAAAUUUAAAGAUGACAUUUUGGGUUAUCACAGUUUCUAUCCCCAUGGGUCAUGAAAAAAGUAAAUAUUUUUUAUUUGCCUAAGCGUUAAUAGGCGGAAUAAUACGAUAAAUGUAUCAUAAUAAUGCAGGUAUCCAAUAGAAUAGGUUAGAUUUGCAGCCAUUCUAUGUCUAAUGGGGAUAUGAUUAAGAAAAGGGGAAAAAGACAAGGAAAUAAACAACAAAAAGCAAGAACAUUGUACUUCAUCUUAUAAGAAAAAAGUUUGUUUUGGUACUAAAUUGGCUCUAUGUGAACUUAACCAGUCAAAGUUAAAUCCCUAAUCAGUGCAAGUUUUGAAAAAUUAAGGUACUUGUACGUAUUCUGUGUUUUUAAUUAAAUAAUUAGAGAAAUAGAAAAUAAAUGCUUGAAAUUGCUUCGACCAAAUUUAAAAGUCAAACUACAAUAUAAAUUGUACUAAUACUUACCACAACUUCUUUUGUUUGCGUACGUCGAGAAAGCCCACUUCUCUUGUCCUUUUGUUUAGUACUCCUACUAUUUUAGACCAAAUAUGGUAUAUUCAGAAACUUUAUUUAUUUCACUUUUUUUUUCGCUUCUCUGGAAAAUGAUAAACAAAAUGCAACAAUAAUAACAGAUCAAAGAUAAUCGUCGUUUUGAAAAGAGAACACACCAUGAUGUGCUUCUAGGUAAUCCUCACGUAGGCGCUUUGACGAUGGAGUAAUGUUGUUGUUCUCUAUACUCU
rnacentral:lncRNA from 1 species